UGUUUUGGGUUGAUUCACACAAGCAGGUUGUCGUAGCCACUCUCCAUCCUUCUGUCUGCCUUUGUAGAAAGCUGUGAAGUGAAUGCCAAGUGAAUAGUGUUAAGAUGAGCGAGCCACAGAGAGAGUAGGGAGAGGAGAAAAACAAAUUGUGGGGAAGCCUUUGACCUUUCGGAUUUUUUUUCUCAGACUGCAGUUGUUGACAUAAACGAAUUAAAGGAAAGAAGGAUGCGCAAAUAAGUUUCUGCAAGGGAUUUCUCUUUAUAGAAGAAGUCAUCACUGGUUUUAUGAACCUACAUAGACAGGAGCUGUUCUCUACUGAUGCUGGAUCUUUAUCUUAAUCACCCCCAUUCAAAUCUGAAGCAAAUUCAAGAUGUUGUUGUGAAUCUGCCAGUGUCUUCUAUCUAACAGCUGGAACUAGCAACAAACACAGUUAUAAGUGGUUUAAAGGCAUUUGGCUUGACUGAGAUGAUAUCUACCAUUUACAAGUGAAAAUCUCUUCUGUCUUUCUCGGACCAACGUUUUACAAUUUCGAGUGUCAAAACUGGCUUUGUCAUCAUGACUUAUGGGCAUUGUUUUGCAACUGCUGCUGAAAGCAUUCA